rnacentral:rRNA from 1 species
CAGUCCCGCGGUAACACGUAGGUCCCGAGCGUUGUCCGGAUUUAUUGGGCGUAAAGCGAGCGCAGGCGGUUACUUAAGCAGGAUGUGAAAUCCCCGGGCUCAACCUGGGAACUGCGUUCUGAACUGGGUGACUAGAGUGUGUCAGAGGGAGGUAGAAUUCCACGUGUAGCGGUGAAAUGCGUAGAGAUGUGGAGGAAUACCGAAGGCGAAGGCAGCCCCUUGGGAAAGUACUGACGCUCAUGUGCGAAAGCGUGGGGAGCAAACAGGAUUAGAUACCCCAGUAGUCCCUGUCUCUUUACAC